rnacentral:misc_RNA from 1 species
GAUGAAGAACGUAGCGAAAUGCGAUAAGUAGUGUGAAUUGCAGAAUUUAGUGAAUCAUCGAAUCUUUGAACGCACAUUGCGCCCUUUGGUAUUCCUUAGGGCAUGCCUGUUUGAGCGUCAUCUACACCCUCAAGCACAGCUUGGUGAUGGGCGCCUGUCCCGCCCCCCACGGGGGCGCGGACUCGCCUCAAAUGCAUUGGCGGCCGGCGACCUGGCUUCGAGCGCAGCAGAAACGCGUACUCGGGGACCGGGCGCCCGCUCCCAGAAGCCAACCCACCCAGUUUGACCUCGGAUCAGGUAGGGAUACCCGCUGAACUUAAGCAUAUCAAUAAGCGGAGGA